rnacentral:rRNA from 1 species
CCUACGGGAGGCAGCAGUGAGGAAUAUUGGUCAGUGGACGAGAGUCUGAACCAGCCAAGUAGCGUGAAGGAUGACUGCCCUAUGGGUUGUAAACUUCUUUUAUAUGGGAAUAAAAUGUUCCACGUGUGGGAUUUUGUAUGUACCAUAUGAAUAAGGAUCGGCUAACUCCGUGCCAGCAGCCGCGGUAAUACGGAGGAUCCGAGCGUUAUCCGGAUUUAUUGGGUUUAAAGGGAGCGUAGGUGGAUUGGUAAGUCAGUUGUGAAAGUUUGCGGCUCAACCGUAAAAUUGCAGUUGAAACUGGCAGUCUUGAGUGCAGUAGAGGUGGGCGGAAUUCGUGGUGUAGCGGUGAAAUGCUUAGAUAUCACGAAGAACUCCGAUGGCGAAGGCAGUUCACUGGACUGCAACUGACACUGAGGCUCGAAAGUGUGGGUAUCAAACAGGAUUAGAUACCCGUGUAGUC